GAGGGUAUAGCUCAAUGGUAGAGUCCCUGCCUAGCAUGCACGAGGUCUUGAGUUUGAUCCCCAUUACCUCCA
rnacentral:tRNA from 1 species